AUGUAUCUUUGACAGACCUGGAGUAGUUACUGUCUGCCGCUAAGGUUUCUACUACAGAUGGAAGAAAAAGAAGUCCUCACACUUUCUGUUUGUCUGGUUGUGGCAGCCAAGAUGGAAUGGGAGAAUACAGGA
rnacentral:snoRNA from 1 species